UGCGUCCGAAAGGUCACGAUGUGCUGAAGGAAGAGCUGGGAUACAUGGUGGACAAGGAGAUGAUCGCCACGUCGACCGCCAUCGAAGAGGCUGUGCUGCGGAUGGACGAGAUAAUGAAUCAGGCAAAGAGAGACACUUCUGGGAUCAAGCUGGAGGUCAACCAGAGUAUCCUGGGAUCCUGCUCAGACCUGAUGAAGG